UACAGAGGGUGCGAGCGUUGUUCGGAAUUAUUGGGCGUAAAGAGCUCGUAGGCGGCUUGGUAAGUCGGAUGUGAAACCUCCAGGCUCAACCUGGAGUCGCCAUCCGAUACUGCCAUGGCUAGAGUCCGGUAGGGGCCCACGGAAUUCCUGGUGUAGCGGUGAAAUGCGUAGAUAUCAGGAGGAACACCUGUGGCGAAAGCGGCUCACUGGACCAUAACUGACGCUGAGGCGCGAAAGCGUGGGGAGCAAACAGG
rnacentral:rRNA from 1 species